CCUACGGGAGGCAGCAGUGGGGAAUAUUGCACAAUGGGGGAAACCCUGAUGCAGCGACGCCGCGUGAGUGAAGAAGUAAUUCGUUACGUAAAGCUCUAUCAGCAGGGAAGAGAAUGACGGUACCUGAGUAAGAAGCCCCGGCUAACUACGUGCCAGCAGCCGCGGAAAUACGUAGGGGGCAAGCGUUAUCCGGAUUUACUGGGUGUAAAGGGAGCGUAGACGGCAGAGAAAGUCUGAAGUGAAAGCCCG
rnacentral:rRNA from 1 species